rnacentral:rRNA from 1 species
AGAACGAACGCUGGCGGCAUGCCUAACACAUGCAAGUCGAACGCUUUGCCGGUUUCGGCCGGCAAGGAGUGGCGCACGGGUGAGUAGCGCGUGGGAACCUGCCCUGUUGUGGGGGAUAACCGAGGGAAACUUCGGCUAAUACCGCAUAAGCCGGUUGUCUUGAAAGAGAUGGCCGGGAAAGAUUUAUCGCGACAGGAGGGGCCCGCGUCGGAUUAGCUAGUUGGCGGGGUAACGGCCCACCAAGGCUGUGAUCCGUAGCUGGUCUGAGAGGAUGAUCAGCCACACUGGGACUGAGACACGGCCCAGACUCCUACGGGAGGCAGCAGUGGGGAAUAUUGGACAAUGGGCGCAAGCCUGAUCCAGCAAUGCCGCGUGAGUGAUGAAGGCCUUAGGGUUGUAAAGCUCUUUCGCCCGCGACGAUGAUGACGGUAGCGGGAGAAGAAGCCCGGCUAACUUCGUGCCAGCAGCCGC